UACAGAGGUGGCGAGCGUUAUUCGGAAUUAUUGGGCGUAAAGGGCGCGUAGGCGGCUUGACAAGUCCCGGGUGAAAUCCCUCGGCUCAACCGAGGAACUGCCUUGGAAACUGUCUGGCUUGAGGCCGGGAGAGGGUAGUGGAAUUCCCAGUGUAGCGGUGAAAUGCGUAGAUACUGGGAGGAACACCGGUGGCGAAGGCGGUUCUCUGGGCAUUACCUGACGCUGAGGAGCGAAAGUGUGGGGAGCGAACAGG
rnacentral:rRNA from 1 species